UAGUAUACAAUCGGUGACUCAUUGUCAUAUUUAUCCUGAUACCAGAUUCGAAUUGACGCAAAUCUAACAAUUGGUGACCCCGAACUAACAAUUGGUGACCCCGAACGUGAUCUGGUGAAGGAUUUCGCUGGACAUUGGUGUGCCAGCCGAUUGGCCAGUACUGUUGUCGGACGGUGUGUCUCACAAAUCCUGACCGGUCAACUAAAAAAGGAGGCGGAUCACUGUCAGUUGCAGUAGACUCCGAAACUUGCUACCCAGGAUCCCAGGCAUCCAGGGUGACCUAGUGACUGUGCUAGAGAUGACCAUCGCCUAUCUGGAUCACAUCCAGGAGUUUGUCACGGGCCACCAGUGCAGUGAUGUCAAUGCUCAGGUUUGGUUCCCACCAGAGAACCUCUACCAUGGCUGGCUGAUGGAAACAAGCCUGAAAAGGCAGAAAUGUCAGAAGCGGCUUGUUUUUGAAGUGUAAAAGAAACAUAAAUGUCAAACAACUAGGUCGAAAAACAUGGGUUUCUAUUGAAAUGCCAAACCAAUAUUGUAUUGUGUGUCAAUGUGUAAUGAUGCAUGAACAUUUUGGCCUAUUUUUUAGUCUGAAAGAAAACAUCUCACUGCUGUUGGUGGAAGAAGGCAAAAGAGGAAGGGUGAGCUUGAAUACCUAAUGGGAAUUGAGCUGCCUAAUCCUGAAAUGGGUUUAUGGCUAAUUUGUCUGUGUGUUACUUUGAUAGUCUGACCUCCAUUCACAAUGCUCAAAUCUAUAACAUUUUGUCACAGGCACAGUACAUGAAGUUGACGGGCAGACUAUUGUGUUUCUAUAUGUAUGAGUGAUUCAUAAAACUAUAUCAUUAAAACAUUUUACGGCAGUGAGAAAAAUCAGGGUAACACAGAGUGAUUCUUGGUGGUCUUAAACAAAUCUACUUUGGAACAAAAAUAUAUACCUCACACACAUAGUUAUGGGCUUAAAAUACACCUGUGCCAUGUC